UUAACCCAAAUUUGUAUGGAGUUGGAACAGCUUCUCUUAAUUUGUCGCUAGGGGCGCUGUUUCAACUCCAUACAAAUUUGAAUUA
rfam:Bombyx mori DNA, contig: Bm_scaf6_contig5799, strain: p50T/Dazao, build 2, whole genome shotgun sequence.